rnacentral:miRNA from 1 species
CAGGCUCUAGCCAGGGGCUUGA